CGCGGCGCACACUCAUUCAAACUUGCGGGCUGCGGUAGGUCGUGUCACAGAGUGGCGCCACGAUCGCAGUCUUCCCCGCUACGCGAUCUCAUACACAUUUUCUUUGAAAUUUCGUGCAAUUGCAAAGAAAAAAGUGAAUACGCGCGAAACAUUCGGUGACUUAUUGGUGCCUUGUGAUUUAUGUUUUUUUUACAUAGACUCAUUUUUUAUAAUUAUUAUUAUUAUCAAGAUCAACUUCUUCGAUAUUAAUAAAGAAGGACGUGAUCGCGUUAGUGAUUCGAAGAUUUCGACGCUUCGAUUAAGAAGGAUUGCGUUUGUCAACGAAGCAAUAACAACAUUACAGAAAUCAUCACAUACGGUGCUUGAACUUAUCGACAAAUCCAUAUCAUUUUUAGACAAUUUUAACUCAAUUAUCAAGUAUUUAGAUAAAGAGUAUGUAAUUAUAUCCUCCAAGUUUUUUUUUUGAUAACGAUAAAAUAAAGUCUAUGAAAUGAGAAUAAUUAAGAAUACGACAGGAAUUUCGAGGGGCAUUAUGGCAAUGAUGACUAUGAGGGGCGGCUUGAGGAUUCUAUGGACGGUGGUGGCUGCCGGAGUCUUACUCACGAGGAGUAGCGCCGCUCCAACCUUCGGUACUACAGAUAAGGCGACGAUGUAUUUAGCACAGUACGGUUAUUUAAGUCCAUCAGUAAGGAAUCCUUCGAGUGGGCACAUUAUGGAUGAGAGCUCGUGGAGGCGAGCCAUUGCCGAAUUUCAGAGCUUCGCUGGUCUUAAUGCUACGGGUGAACUGGAUGACCAAACGAACGAAAUGAUGUCAUUGCCAAGGUGUGGAGUUAGAGAUAAAGUAGGCUUCGGAGAGAGUCGUGCCAAAAGAUACGCAUUGCAAGGGUCAAGAUGGCGUGUCAAAAAUCUGACGUACAAGAUAUCCAAGUACCCAUCAAGACUGAAUCGCGCCGAAGUCGAUGCUGAGCUUGCCAAAGCCUUCUCCGUCUGGUCUGACUACACGGAUCUUACUUUCACACAAAAGAGAUCCGGUCAAGUCCACAUAGAAAUUAGGUUUGAGAAAGGCGAGCACGGUGACGGAGAUCCUUUUGAUGGUCCAGGAGGCACCCUCGCCCACGCUUAUUUCCCGGUGUAUGGAGGUGAUGCCCAUUUUGAUGACGCUGAGAUGUGGUCCAUCAAUUCCCGUAGAGGAACUAAUCUUUUCCAGGUAGCAGCACAUGAGUUUGGUCACUCGCUGGGUCUCUCACACAGCGAUGUAAGAUCCGCAUUGAUGGCGCCGUUUUAUCGCGGUUACGAUCCUGCUUUCCAACUCGAUCAGGACGACGUCCAAGGAAUUCAGUCGCUUUAUGGCCACAAGACCCAGACAGACAUUGGUGGCGGUGGCGGCGGACUGAUACCUUCCGUUCCUCGAGCGACCACGCAGCAGCCGUCAGCUGAGGAUCCGGCUCUCUGCGCUGAUCCUCGUAUUGAUACUAUCUUUAAUUCUGCCGACGGUUCGACUUUUGUAUUCAAAGGCGACCAUUACUGGAGGCUAACUGAAGAUGGCGUAGCGGCUGGGUACCCGCGUCUUAUUUCCCGAGCCUGGCCUGGUCUCCCCGGAAACAUUGAUGCAGCAUUUACCUACAAGAACGGCAAGACUUACUUCUUUAAGGGCUCGAAGUACUGGAGGUACAAUGGGCAGAAGAUGGACGGGGAUUACCCCAAGGAUAUUAGUGAAGGCUUCACCGGUAUCCCAGAUAACCUAGAUGCGGCUUUGGUUUGGUCCGGCAACGGCAAGAUCUAUUUCUACAAGGGCUCGAAAUUCUGGCGAUUUGACCCUGCACAACGGCCCCCCGUGAAAGCUACCUACCCGAAGCCUUUGUCUAACUGGGAUGGAAUACCUGAUAACAUCGAUGCAGCGUUGCAGUACACUAACGGAUACACCUACUUUUUCAAGGGGGGAUCAUAUUGGAGAUUCAACGACAGAUUGUUCAGUGUGGACACAGACAACCCUCAGUUCCCGCGUUCAACCGCGUUCUGGUGGUUGGGCUGCAGCAGCGCGCCGCGCGGCACCGUCGGAGGUGUAAAAUCAUCCGCUCCCAGAUCAUUCUUCUGGUUCAGGAAAUAGCCUCGGUGGAGAGUUCCUGAACAUUGUACAUAUAAUGUUUGCAUACAGAAAAAAGACUCAAUUAGUUACAUAGCAAAUAUAUGAGAAUACCAGUGAGAUUAAAAAAGCUUAAGCGGUGAUUUUAGAACCGGCGAGCUUGUCACAAUCUGCCUUGGUCAACGUUCAGUCGGACGGAGCCAGACUUUAAUAUAAUGAUUGUGGUUCCGUGCCGCCUCAUGUAUUAGGAGGCCUCAAAACGACCUCCGCCACGACACCAUUCACACGCAU
rnacentral:misc_RNA from 1 species